UGUGAAGGAUGUCCAAUGCGAUGCAGUGAUUGUGAAGGAUGUCCAAUGUGACGCAGUGAUUGUGAAAGAUGUCCGAUGCGAUGCAGUGAUUGUGAAGGAUGUCCAAUGCGAUGCAGUGAUUGUGAAGGAUGUCCGAUGCGAUGCAGUGAUUUUGAAGGAUGUCCAAUGCGAUGCAGUGAUUGUGAAGGAUGUCCAAUGUGACGCAGUGAUUGUGAAAGAUGUCCGAUGCGAUGCAGUGAUUGUGAAGGAUGUCCAAUGCGAUGCAGUGAUUGUGAAGGAUGUCCGAUGCGAUGCAGUGAUUUUGAAGGAUGUCCAAUGCGAUGCAGUGAUUGUGAAGGAUGUCCAAUGUGACGCAGUGAUUGUGAAGGAUGUCCAAUGUGACGCAGUGAUUGUGAAGGAUGUCCGAUGCGAUGCAGUGAUUGUGAAGGAUGUCCGAUGCGAUGCAGUGAUUGUGAAGGAUGUCCAAUGCGAUGCAGUGAUUGUGAAGGAUGUCCAAUGCGAUGCAGUGAUUGUGAAGGAUGUGAAGGAUGUCCAAUGCGAUGCAGUGAUUGUGAAGGAUGUGAAGGAUGUCCAAUGCGAUGCAGUGAUUGUGAAGGAUGUGAAGGAUGUCCGAUGCGAUGCAGUGAUUGUGAAGGAUGUCCAAUGUGACGCAGUGAUUGUGAAGGAUGUCCGAUGCGAUGCAGUGAUUGUGAAGGAUGUGAAGGAUGUCCGAUGCGAUGCAGUGAUUGUGAAGGAUGUCCAUGGAUCCCGUGUGGCUCAGUUGGUAGAGCAUGGUGUUUGCAACGCCAGGGUUGUGGGUUCGAUUCCCACGGGGGACCAGUAUGGGGGAAAAAAUGUAUGAAAUGUUAAAAGGCUUCUGAAGGUUAUAAUUUCCACUUUGAAGCGGCCAGAGGCCCCAAACAACCGGGAUGUGUUUGAAGAGCCAGCAGACAGACAGAGCCACGCCAGGAAGAGAACAGAGAUGUGUAUGAAGAGCCAGCAGACAGACAGAGCCACGCCAGGAAGAGAACAGAGAUGUGUUUGAAGAGCCAGCAGACAGACAGAGCCACGCCAGGAAGAGAACAGAGAUGUGUUUGAAGAGCCAGCAGACAGACAGAGCCACACCAGGAAGAGAACAGAGAUGUGUUUGAAGAGCCAGCAGACAGAGCCACACCAGGAAGAGAACAGAGAUGUGUUUGAAGAGCCAGCAGACAGACAGAGCCACACCAGGAAGAGAACAGAGAUGUGUUUGAAGAGCCAGCAGACAGAGCCACACCAGGAAGAGAACAGAGAUGUGUUUGAAGAGCCAGCAGACAGAGCCACACCAGGAAGAGAACAGAGAUGUGUUUGAAGAGCCAGCAGACAGAGCCACGCCAGGAAGAGAACAGAGAUGUGUUUGAAGAGCCAGCAGACAGAGCCACGCCAGGAAGAGAACAGAGAUGUGUUUGAAGAGCCAGCAGACAGAGCCACACCAGGAAGAGAACAGAGAUGUGUUUGAAGAGCCAGCAGACAGAGCCACGCCAGGAAGAGAACAGAGAUGUGUUUGAAGAGCCAGCAGACAGACAGACAGAGCCACACCAGGAAGAGAACAGAGAUGUGUUUGAAGAGCCAGCAGACAGAGCCACGCCAGGAAGAGAACAGAGAUGUGUUUGAAGAGCCAGCAGACAGAGCCACG
rnacentral:tRNA from 1 species